GUCCAGACUCCUACGGGAGGCAGCAGUGGGGAAUAUUGCACAAUGGGGGAAGCCCUGAUGCAGCAACGCCGCGUGAGUGAAGAAGUCAUUCGUGAUGUAAAGCUCUAUCAGCAGGGAAGAAAAUGACGGUACCUGACUAAGAAGCCCCGGCUAACUACGUGCCAGCAGCCGCGGUAAUACGUAGGGGGCAAGCGUUAUCCGGAUUUACUGGGUGUAAAGGGAGCGUAGACGGCAGUGCAAGUCCGGAGUGAAAGCCCGGGGCUCAACCCUGGGACUGCUCUGGAAACUGUAAAGCUGGAGUGCGGGAGGGGCAGGCGGAAUUCCUGGUGUAGCGGUGAAAUGCGUAGAUAUCAGGAGGAACACCGGCGGCGAAGGCGGCCUGCUGGACCGUAACUGACGUUGAGGCUCGAAAGCGUGGGGAGCAAACAGGAUUAGAUACCCGAGUA
rnacentral:rRNA from 1 species